UACGUAGGGGGCAAGCGUUGUCCGGAUUUAUUGGGCGUAAAGAGCGUGUAGGCGGCCAGAUAGGUCCGUUGUGAAACCUGGAGGCUCAACCUCCAGCGGUCGAUGGAAACCAUUUGGCUAGAGUCCGGAAGAGGAGAGUGGAAUUCCUGGUGUAGCGGUGAAAUGCGCAGAUAUCAGGAAGAACACCCGUGGCGAAGGCGGCUCUCUGGGACGGUACU
rnacentral:rRNA from 1 species